UAGUUACAUCAACUGUCAACAGUUUGC
rnacentral:sRNA from 1 species